rnacentral:rRNA from 1 species
CGAUAGCAUAUAUUUCCCGCAUGGGUUUUAUAUUAAAGAAAUUCGGUAUGAGAUGGGGAUGCGUUCCAUUAGUUUGUUGGGGGGGUAACGGCCCACCAAGACUACGAUGGAUAGGGGUUCUGAGAGGAAGGUCCCCCACAUUGGAACUGAGACACGGUCCAAACUCCUACGGGAGGCAGCAGUGAGGAAUAUUGGUCAAUGGACGCGAGUCUGAACCAGCCAAGUAGCGUGAAGGAUGACUGCCCUAUGGGUUGUAAACUUCUUUUAUAUGGGAAUAAAGUUGUCCACGUGUGGAUUUUUGUAUGUACCAUAUGAAUAAGGAUCGGCUAACUCCGUGCCAGCAGCCGCGGUAAUACGGAGGAUCCGAGCGUUAUCCGGAUUUAUUGGGUUUAAAGGGAGCGUAGGCGGAUUGUUAAGUCAGUUGUGAAAGUUUGCGGCUCAACCCGUAAAAUUGCAGUUGAUACUGGCAGUCUUGAGUGCAGUAGAGGUGGGCGGAAUUC